rnacentral:rRNA from 1 species
GACGAACCGUGCGAACGUUGUUCGGAAUCACUGGGCUUAAAGGGCGCGUAGGCGGCCUGCCAAGUCAGGGGUGAAAGCCCCAGCUCAACUGGGGAAGUGCCUUUGAUACUGGCGGCUCGAGCGAGGCAGGGUCGUGGGAACUUCCGGUGGAGCGGUGAAUGCGUUGAUAUCGGAAGGAACGCCGGUGGCGAAGCGCACGACUGGUCCUCUUCUGACGCUGAGGCGCGAAAGCCAGGGAGCAAACGGG